rnacentral:rRNA from 1 species
AAGGACAUCUUCGGAUGGCCGCGUUGCAAGACUAAAGACCGCUUUCUAAUCCAUUGAUCUUCGGAUUAAUAUUCUUGACAUCUGGCCUCAAAUCAGGUAGGACUACCCGCUGAACUUAAGCAUAUCAAUAAGCGGAGGAAAAGAAACUAACAAGGAUUCCCCUAGUAACGGCGAGUGAAGCGGGAAGAGCUCAAAUUUGAAAUCUGGUAGCCUUCGGUUGCCCGAGUUGUAAUCUAGAGAAGUGUUUUCCGUGCCGGCCCAUGUACAAGUCCCUUGGAACAGGGCGUCAUAGAGGGUGAGAAUCCCGUCCUUGACAUGGACCCCCGGUGCUUUGUGAUACACUUUCAACGAGUCGAGUUGUUUGGGAAUGCAGCUCAAAAUGGGUGGUGAAUUCCAUCUAAAGCUAAAUAUUGGCGAGAGACCGAUAGCGAACAAGUACCGUGAGGGAAAGAUGAAAAGCACUUUGGAAAGAGAGUUAAACAGUACGUGAAAUUGUUGAAAGGGAAACGAUUGAAGUCAGUCAUGCUCUUUGGUAUUUAUAUCAUUGAGUGGGGUCAACAUCAGUUUUGAUCGAUGGAUAAAGGCACUAGGAAGGUAGCACUCUCGGGUGAACUUAUAGCCUAGCGUCAUAUACAUUGAUUGGGACUGAGGAACGCAGCAUGCCUUUAUGGCCGGGAUUCGUCCACGUACA